rnacentral:rRNA from 1 species
GACGAACGCUGGCGGUGUGCUUAACACAUGCAAGUGGAGCGACGAACCAGGGCUUGCCCUGGGGCAGAGCCGCGAACGGGUGAGUAACACGUGGGUAACCUACCCCGAUGACUGGGACAACCCGAGGAAACUCGGGCUAAUACCGGAUGUGUCCGACGUCCACGAGGACGUCGAGCAAAGGAAGCUUCGGCCUCCGCAUCGGGAGGGGCACGCGGCCCAUUAGCUUGUUGGUGGGGUAACGGCCUACCAAGGCUGCGAUGGGUAGCUGGUCUGGGAGGGCGAGCAGCAACACUGGGACGGAGACACGGCCCAGACUCCUACGGGAGGCAGCAGUGGGGAAUCUUGCGCAAUGCGCGAAAGCGUGACGCAGCAAAACCGCGUGAGGUAAGACGGCCUUCGGGUUGUAAACCUCUUUCAGGAGGGACGAAGGCCGGCCGGUUAACAGCCGUGCCGGCUGACGGUACCUCCACAAGAAGCUCCGGCUAACUACGUGCCAGCAGCCGCCGCGGUAA